GAUGAAGAACGUAGCGAAAUGCGAUAAGUGAUGUGAAUUGCAGAAUUCAGUGAAUCAUCGAAUCUUUGAACGCACAUUGCGCCCGCCAGUAUUCUGGCGGGCAUGCCUGUUCGAGCGUCAUUUCAACCAUCAAGCCCCCGGCUUGUGUUGGGGACCUGCGGCUGCCGCAGGCCCUGAAAACCAGUGGCGGGCUCGCUAGUCACUCCGAGCGUAGUAAUACAUCUCGCUCAGGGCGUGCUGCGGGUUCCGGCCGUUAAAAAGCCUUAUUUACCCAAGGUUGACCUCGGAUCAGGUAGGAAGACCCGCUGAACUUAAGCAUAUCAAUAAGCGGAGGA
rnacentral:misc_RNA from 1 species